UUACCUCCUCAGCAAACCUGGCUUGUUUUGAAGUCAUGGAAGGCAUUUUUUGAAGACAAAAACCUUGUGUCUGAGCUUUGAACUCAGUGAUGUUUGCCAUGAUUUCUAGAAUCUCUCUACCUUGAGUUUUGGUGCAAAAUUUCACCGGGGAACUGAAUAUUGAGCAACAAUACAUAGACAAUAACACCAGCUAUUGCCAGACAAGAUAUUGCAGCGAUGCCAUAAAGUCCUUCUCCAGUUCCUGCUUUCCUGAUCCGCUUGGCACCAAAUGGACGAGCAGAGCAGAGCCUGCAAACAGCGAUGAGAAGUGAGACUCUGAAAAGCCAUGGUAGCAUUUACAUCUCUGGCAAGAAUCAGGGCUGGAAAACCACAAUCUUUAGGAAGCAGUGGAUUUACACAUCAAAUACCUUACAUUUCUCCUGCUGGUCUCCGACCAUUAUCCUCUGCUCUCAGUAGAACAGUGUAUUUAACGGCUUCAUUAAUGCCAGAGUGAAAAUUAUCUACUGCUGGAGUGACUGUCGUGUGGGGAAUUUUUACACCAGAACUGGAGCAGCAUUCUGAUCCUUCAGUACUUGGGAGCAACGUUUGUAAAGGUACAAAAUUAGUGAAAAAAAAAAAAAUAUGAUGAUUUAAAAAGAUUAUCUGAAUUUAAAGCAAAACCAAUAUAUUAAGAAAGAGAAAAUGGCUGCAGAACAGGUAGAUUACCCAGAAUCUACUCAGAACAACAGUUUCACCCUUUGCAGAAAAGACUAAGGCAAAAGUGCAGGCUGGUGGCUGGGCUGAGUAAUUAAUCCACAGAGAAUGCCUUACCCAAUUAAUACAUGUUGUCUGGACAUAGAUUCGAAUUAUAGCAGUAUUUGAAAUGAUGUCUUUUCAUUUCUUUCCUCGCUACAACGCGAUUGUAAUUGAUCUGCUGGGAAUUUUUUUCAGGGCAAUAUUCAG
rnacentral:lncRNA from 1 species